ensembl:lncRNA
GUAGUGGUAGUGGUAGUGGUAGUGGUACUAUAAUUGCGCCUGUAAAAAAUAGCUUAAGUUUUGGCAACAAAAACAAUAAUAUAAUGAUUAAUGAUCAGGUAAAAAAAACAGAUAUAAAUGACAAAAGUGGUUUAUUUAAUAUAAAUAAUGAUACGGAUAAAAAUUAUAACAAUUUUAUUAAUACAUCAGUUAGUAGUAACAGUAGUAGUAACAGUAAUGGUACUAUAUUUAAUAAUAAUAGACGUUCUCACAUCAUGAAUAAUAAUAUUAAUAGUAAUAAUAAUAAUAUUAAUAAUAAUAAUAAUAAUAAUAGUAAUAAUAAUAAUAAUAAUAAUAAUAGUAAUAAUAAUAAUAAUAUUAAUAGUAAUAAUAAUAUUAAUAAUAAUAAUAAUAAUAAUAAUAAUAAGGUAGCAGGACAUUUACAACCACAUGGAGUAUUUCCACAUAUGAAUUCAAAUGACAUUAGAAAAAUUAAAAGUUUGGAUAAUAUUUACAAUAAUGUAUAUAAUGAUAAUAGUACACAUAUUGGAACUCGUCAUAAUAACUUAUGUAAUGAUUUAUUUUUUAGUAAUAAUAACUUAAUUAAUGGUCAUACAUACCAUACACAUACACAGUCUCCUCAUAUAAGUAAUGUUACAUAUGAUAGACCUGCUUCCAAUAUACUUGACACAACAAACAAUGACAACAAUACCACUAAUAAUAACAAUAAUAAUAACAAUAAUAAUACCACUAGUAAUAACAAUAAUAAUAAACACAUUGGUGAUAAUGUUAUUACAUAUAAUGAUUCUAUGUUUAGGUACAAUAAAGAGUCAGCACGAAUUAAUAAUGAGAAUAACAAUAAGUGGGUAAAUGAUAAAAAUAAUUUAAAAAAUUUAUUAAAAAAACAUAUAAUUAAUUAUAAUAAAUAUGUUAUUGGAAAUGGCAACACUGGUGAUGUUACUACGGAUGUUGGAGUAGAGACUAUUGGUUCUAAUGAUAGUAACAAUAAUAACGGUAUGUCAAAUAACGGUAUGCCAAAUAACGGUAUGCCAAAUAACGGUAUGCCAAAUAACGGUAUGCCAAAUAAUAAUAUGCCAAAUAAUAAUAUGCCAAAUAAUAAUAUGCCAAAUAAUAAUAUGCCAAAUAACGGUAUGCCAAAUAAUAUUAUGCCAAAUAACGUAAGUAAUGUAAG